GUAGAGUGUUGAGCUAUUCUCUGUUCCUCUACAAACUACUGAUGUGCCCAGAAUCACAGCCGAUUCUCACCUCUUAUAUGAUGAUGUGGGGAAAUCUGUCCUUCUGCUAAAAAAUAAACUUGAGGAAGUCUCCACAGAUUUGACAGGAAUGAUAUCUAAUAGAGUGCAAAAUAUAAAGAUCUUUUCCACUUCUGGGGAGAGCAUAAAAACACCACAGCCACGGCCCAGGUCCACAACACUACCAGUGCCACCAUCUGGUAACAACCCAAUGCCAUUACCAACUAGGCCACAUAAUGAAUUGCCACGAAACAGACCCUUUUCAGGUUCAAAAUAUUGGCAUUCCUUAGGAUAAGGGUAACAGUCAAGACCCUCUGCAUUGCCAGGAUCAUGUGUCAGACCCUGCACAGCAAUACUUUGUGUUU